AAGACUCUAGUAAAACAGAAAAUUAUACUGCUUUGUCAAAGCAGAGUUGCGGGUUAAAGCCCCACGUGUCUUG
rnacentral:tRNA from 1 species